rnacentral:rRNA from 1 species
UACAGAGGGUGCAAGCGUUAAUCGGAAUUACUGGGCGUAAAGCGUGCGCAGACGGUUGCGUAAGUCAGAUGUGAAAGCCCCGGGCUCAACCUGGGAACUGCAUUUGUGACUGCAUGGCUAGAGUACGGUAGAGGGGGAUGGAAUUCCGCGUGUAGCAGUGAAAUGCGUAGAUAUGCGGAGGAACACCGAUGGCGAAGGCAAUCCCCUGGACCUGUACUGACGCUCAUGCACGAAAGCGUGGGGAGCAAACAGG